GCGGAAGUGGCGAAAUUGGUAGACGCACCAGAUUUAGGUUCUGGUGCCGCAAGGUGUAAGAGUUCAAGUCUCUUCUUCCGCACCA
rnacentral:tRNA from 1 species